CCUACGGGUGGCAGCAGUGGGGAAUAUUGGACAAUGGGGGAAACCCUGAUCCAGCGACGCCGCGUGAGUGAAGAAGUAUUUCGGUACGUAAAGCUCUAUCAGCAGGGAAGAAAAUGACGGUACCUGACUAAGAAGCCACGGCUAACUACGUGCCAGCAGCCGCGGUAAUACGUAGGGGGCAAGCGUUAUCCGGAGUUACUGGGUGUAAAGGGAGAGUAGACGGCUGCGCAAGUCCGGAGUGAAAUGUCGGGGCCCAACCCCGGAACUGCUCUGGAAAAUGUGGAGCUGGAGUGCAGGAGAGGUAAGCGGAAUUCCUGGUGUAGCGGUGAAAUGCGUAGAUAUCAGGAAGAACACCAGUGGCGAAGGCAGCUUACUGGACUGCAACUGACGUUGAGGCUCGAAAGCGUGGGGAGCAAACAGGAUUAGAUACCCGGGUAGUC
rnacentral:rRNA from 1 species